rfam:Nematostella vectensis strain CH2 x CH6 NEMVEscaffold_33_Cont5749, whole genome shotgun sequence.
CCCUUCUCUUCAAAAGCACCACAUUUCAACUGUAACCAGUGCACUUUGAUCCUACUGACUUUGUCAGAGGAUUCGAAGAACGCUGGACGAGUAAUGAGAAUGUUGGCCGUCAAGAGAAGGAGAGCAUCGCAGUUUAAAUGGGUGAGACCAAGGAGGGCCUCUUUCUUAAUGUCCAAUGUCUUGUGUCUCAAUCCAAACUGCCACAUAA